rnacentral:rRNA from 1 species
CGGGUGAGUAACACGUGGACAACCUGCCUCAAGGCUGGGGAUAACAUUUGGAAACAGAUGCUAAUACCGAAUAAAACUUAGUGUCGCAUGACACAAAGUUAAAAGGCGCUUCGGCGUCACCUAGAGGUGGAUCCGCGGUGCAUUAGUUAGUUGGUGGGGUAAAGGCCUACCAAGACAAUGAUGCAUAGCCGAGUUGAGAGACUGAUCGGCCACAUUGGGACUGAGACACGGCCCAAACUCCUACGGAGGCAGCAUG